UGACAGCUGUGUUGGAAAUAAAUGGAUAC
rnacentral:piRNA from 1 species